ACUUGGGUAGUUUAACUUAAAAUUUUGAUUUGUGGUGUCAAGAAUAUGGGAGAAAUCUCAUCUCAGGUC
rnacentral:tRNA from 1 species